rnacentral:ribozyme from 1 species
GAUUCGCUACGUAACGGCAUGACAGUUUUUUUUUUUUUUUUUUUUUUUUUUGAAUAUCCAUGAAUCUGAA